GCCCUUCUCAGGUCGCACCUGGAGAGUUUCCUAUACUUUACCAUUUUUGACUGUGGGAGGGAGAGUCAAGCAGAGGCAUAUCCAUUCCAUUCCUAGCUUGUGCAGUGGCUAGCGAGUGGAAGGCAAUCUGCUACAAGU